CAACCCUCAGACCCUUAGUUGUCUGGUGUUGGGGCAUCUACAGCGAUGUAGGCCCCGAAAAACAGUGGCGGUGCUCGCCAGCACUCCGGGCGCAGUAGUUUAUUUCUCGCCUAGGAUGUCUGGCAGGCUACCGGCCUUAAAACCCCCUAAAUUUUAAAA
rnacentral:misc_RNA from 1 species